rnacentral:rRNA from 1 species
UUUUUUUUCGGUUGUUAUUUGUGUGGAAUUUUGGUCAAUGGACGCAAGUCUGAACCAGCCAAGUAGCGUGCAGGAUGACGGCCCUCCGGGUUGUAAACUGCUUUUAGUUGGGAAUAAAAGGGGGCUCGUGAGCCCCGUAUUGUAUGUACCAUCAGAAAAAGGACCGGCUAAUUCCGUGCCAGCAGCCGCGGUAAUACGGAAGGUCCGGGCGUUAUCCGGAUUUAUUGGGUUU